UGCAUAUCAAUAAGCGGAGGAAAAGAAACUAACAAGGAUUCCCCUAGUAACGGCGAGCGAAGCGGGAAGAGCUCAAAUUUGAAAGCUGGCACCUCCGGUGUCCGCGUUGUAAUCUCGAGACGUGUUUUCCGUGCGGCUCUAUGGACAAGUCCCUUGGAACAGGGCAUCGUAGAGGGUGAAAAUCCCGUACUUGCCAUGGAUGUACCGUGCUUUGUGAUACACGCUCUAAGAGUCGAGUUGUUUGGGAUUGCAGCUCAAAAUGGGUGGUAGACUCCAUCUAAAGCUAAAUAUCGGGGAGAGACCGAUAGCGAACAAGUACCGUGAGGGAAAGAUGAAAAGCACUUUGGAAAGAGAGUUAAAAGUACGUGAAAUUGUCGAAAGGGAAGCGCUUGAAGUCAGCCAUGCUGCGCGGACUCAGCCCGGCUGAUGCCUGGUGUAUUUCCCAGCAGCAAGUCAGCAUGGAUUUGGAUCGCCGGAGAAGGGUGGGAGGAAUGUGGCACCCUCGGGUGUGUUAAGCCUCCUACUGGAUACGGCGAUUUGGAUCCAGGAACGCAGUGUGCCUCUGGCGGGUCUUCGGACACCUUCACACUUAGGAUGCUGGCGUAAUGGCUUUAAGCGGCCCGUCUUGAAACACGGACCA
rnacentral:rRNA from 1 species